AUGACUAGAAUCGUUACCUUCGAUGUUUCUUGCCCCUCAAGUCUUUUGUCUAGUCUUCACAAUUGUGUCUAUAAACUUAACAGAAAGUUUAAACACCUUGUAACUUCUCUGACAAAUGAAGACAAUGAUGACAUGGAUAAAGUGACACUAUCAGUUGUUGUAAGUGUUUGGAUUGUAAACCCUUUUGUAGCAUUAGCUUAUGAUUUGGUGUAUGCUUAG